rnacentral:rRNA from 1 species
CCUUAGAGUUUGAUCCUGGCUCAGAACGAACGCUGGCGGCAGGCUUAACACAUGCAAGUCGAACGCGUGUAGCAAUACACGAGUGGCGCACGGGUGAGUAACACGUGGAUAUCUGCCUUUUGGUUCGGAAUAACUCCGGGAAACUGGAGCUAAUACCGGAUGGUUCCUACGGGAUAAAGAUUUAUCGCCAAAAGAUUAGUCCGCGCACGAUUAGCUAGUUGGUGAGGUAAUGGCUCACCAAGGCGACGAUCGUUAGCUGGUCUGAGAUGACGAUCAGCCACACUGGGACUGAGACACGGCCCAGACUCCUACGGGAGGCAGCAGAAGGG